GCAAGUCGAACGAGAAAGGUACCUUCGGGUACUGAUUAAAGUGGCGGACGGGUGAGUAACACGUGAAUAACGUACCUUCGAGCGGGGGACAACCAUUGGAAACGAUGGCUAAUACCGCAUAAGACCACACUCCUUUCGGGGAGAGGGGUCAAAGGCUUCGGCCACUCGGAGAUCGGUUCGCGGCCCAUUAGUUAGUAGGUGGGGUAAUGGCUCACCUAGACUGAGAUGGGUAGCUGGUCUGAGAGGAUGAUC
rnacentral:rRNA from 1 species